AUAAAACUGCCACCGGGUAGUAAAUGCGAAAGCAUUCGUAACACAUCGUUAGGUCUUAGAAGAUGUGUCGCGGAUGCUUGUUUUUUU
rnacentral:ncRNA from 1 species